rnacentral:hammerhead_ribozyme from 1 species
AGCUAGCUGACGAGUCCCAAAUAGGACGAAAUGUGCGAUAUCCUUGGU